rnacentral:rRNA from 1 species
AACGAACGCUGGCGGCAUGCCUAACACAUGCAGGUCGAACGAGACCUUCGGGUCUAGUGGCGCACGGGUGCGUAACGCGUGGGAACCUGCCCUUAGGUUCGGAAUAACUCCCCGAAAGGGGUGCUAAUACCGGAUAAUGUCUUCGGACCAAAGAUUUAUCGCCUUUGGAUGGGCCCGCGUUGGAUUAGCUAGUUGGUAGGGUAAAAGCCUACCAAGGCGACGAUCCAUAGCUGGUCUGAGAGGAUGAUCAGCCACACUGGGACUGAGACACGGCCCAGACUCCUACGGGAGGCAGCAGUGGGGAAUAUUGGACAAUGGGCGAAAGCCUGAUCCAGCAAUGCCGCGUGAGUGAUGAAGGCCUUAGGGUUGUAAAGCCCUUUUACCCGGGAUGAUAAUGACAGUACCGGGAGAAUAAGCUCCGGCUAACUCCGU